GGGGWGCGCUCUMAUGCAGUCGAGCGAUGGAUUARGAGCUUGCUCUUAUGAAGUUAGCGGCGGACGGGUGAGUAACACGUGGGUAACCUACCCAUAAGACUGGGAUAACUCCGGGAAACCGGGGCUAAUACCGGAUAAUAUUUUGAACUGCAUAGUUCGAAAUUGAAAGGCGGCUUCGGCUGUCACUUAUGGAUGGACCCGCGUCGCAUUAGCUAGUUGGUGAGGUAACGGCUCACCAAGGCGACGAUGCGUAGCCGACCUGAGAGGGUGAUCGGCCACACUGGGACUGAGACACGGCCCAGACUCCUACGGGAGGCAGCAGUAGGGAAUCUUCCGCAAUGGACGAAAGUCUGACGGAGCAACGCCGCGUGAGUGAUGAAGGCUUUCGGGUCGUAAAACUCUGUUGUUAGGGAAGAACAAGUGCUAGUUGAAUAAGCUGGCACCUUGACGGUACCUAACCAGAAAGCCACGGCUAACUACGUGCCAGCAGCCGCGGUAAUACGUAGGUGGCAAGCGUUAUCCGGAAUUAUUGGGCGUAAAGCGCGCGCAGGUGGUUUCUUAAGUCUGAUGUGAAAGCCCACGGCUCAACCGUGGAGGGUCAUUGGAAACUGGGAGACUUGAGUGCAGAAGAGGAAAGUGGAAUUCCAUGUGUAGCGGUGAAAUGCGUAGAGAUAUGGAGGAACACCAGUGGCGAAGGCGACUUUCUGGUCUGUAACUGACACUGAGGCGCGAAAGCGUGGGGAGCAAACAGGAUUAGAUACCCUGGUAGUCCACGCCGUAAACGAUGAGUGCUAAGUGUUAGAGGGUUUCCGCCCUUUAGUGCUGAAGUUAACGCAUUAAGCACUCCGCCUGGGGAGUACGGCCGCAAGGCUGAAACUCAAAGGAAUUGACGGGGGGCCCGCACAAGCGGUGGAGCAUGUGGUUUAAUUUCGAAGCAACGCGAAGAACCUUACCAGGUCUUGACAUCCUUCUGAAACUCUAGAGAUAGAGCUUUCUCCUUCGGGAGCAGAGUGACAGGUGUUGCAUGGUUUGUCGUCAGCUCGUGUCGUGAGAUGUUGGGUUAAGUCCCCGCAACGAGCGCACCCUUUGAUUUUAGUUGCCCAUCAUUAGUUGGUACUCUAGCUGACUGCCCGAKGAMCAACCGGAAGGAAGGGGGGGGAAUGUGAAMSU
rnacentral:rRNA from 1 species